GGUCACCGCUGCCGGGAAAGCCGGCGCCCGGGAAAGCCGGCGCGCGGCGGAGCUGCGCUUCGCAGCCGGGAAUUACGGGUUUUGGAACUUUAGGACUGAAUGGCUUUUUUCUGCCUACUCAUGGUUGAAAACAACGCAUGUUUACCUGGCGAGGACGUCAGGCCGAAGCCGCGGUCCGGCUGCCCGGUGGCUUCCUGCACGUCGUCCGGCUGGCCCGGCCGGCCGCCGUUUUCCACGAUGCAGCGCACGGCUUCGGCUGGGAGAUGCGCGGCCGGGAGCCGGCCCCGUCGGGCAGGCGGCGACGGAAUGCCGAACGUGCCAGGAGUGUGAUCUAGGAACUGUAAACAACAGCGCGUCCACGCGAAAGUAGACAUCUGCUUUUUGUUUCCACCGAAAACCUCAGGCUAGAACAAUAGCUUAUUUUGUGAAAAGGAGAUUGAAGAGCUUUGCACAAACCCCUAUUUUCCAUUAAACAAAUGGAUGGGAAAUUUAAUGAACCAUAUCGUACAUGCUGACUCUGUUGUUUAAAGAAAGAUCAGCAGAAACCUGAAGAUGGUUUAAAAUAUGCUAGCUUUAUAUGCUUGUAAGCUGUUAGACAGUAGCACUGGUUCGAAAUUUCACAGUUAGAGAAUUCUUUUACAUCUAUGUACAGACUUUUUUCUUUUCUCUGCUGUCAGUUGCUCAUACUAAGAAAAUGACUGAUGUUUUCUAACCAAGGAGUUGACACUGGAGACUACGGGCAGGGCCUGAAUUAAGUUCUGCACAGAUUAUUUUUUACUACAAGUCACAUUUCCUUAGGGAUCAUGAGACCUUCCUUCUGGAUAAGAAAUGAUUUUACACUGAUACUUGUGCUUCUGGGUAUAGUCCACACAAAACAGUUGCUCUUGAGCUGUCUGUUUUGCAGAUCCACAGAUACCUUGCUAACUACUAACUGGCUUCAUCCUCAGUUUAAGCAUGUAUUUUACAAGUGAUCUACUGGAUUUAUAAACCUAAUUCCCACUAAGUUUUGGAGGUGCUAGGGAGCUUGAAUGUUAAAGGCCAGAGAUGAGGAUACAGUACUUUAUUUUUACUAUUAAUACAGUAUUGAUUUCAGUAUUUCUGACAGCGGAGAAAUGGAUAUGUAGAAGGCAAAAAAAAGAACUCCAUGAUUGCACGUGUGUGAGACCAGAGGAAAGUUACAUUGAAUUUUCAGCCCAUUGCUUACUCUUUGUCAAUAAUGGUUCAUAUCUCAAAGCGUUUUUUCAUCUCUAUUGUUCUAUGCUAUUUCUGUUUUAAACAAGUGUCUAGCAAGUAAGUUAAAAUGCUCUUCUAAGUUGGGAAAUUGACUGUUCUUUACCAGAUUGUAGCCACCUGCUGCAAUAAAAAUAACACACUCGUGCCCCUAGAAGAAUUCUUCCUCAUAGUAAAGAAGCUUUACAAUAAAAAUUGAGAAAUUAAA